UUUAAAAAUGGCCUUUUCUCCACGAGCUGUGGACCCAUAACACCACACACUGGUCUAACCUGCUUAUCCAAGGCAGGGUCACAGGACAGCUGGAACGAAGGCACAAGACAGGAACAACACCUGGAAAGCACAAGAAUAAUGUGAUGGUGACGGUCAGCCCCACGCUACCGGGUCCUUCCAGGGAGCCUCUUGAACCUGCUACCGCCGAUAACGCAGCCGAGCGAUGAGCCAAGACAAAUGAGGACGUGACACGCAUAGCAAGGGGAGUGCUCGCAUAUUAUACAAGAUAGGAAGCACCUACUGCAAUAGUCAUGUCUGUCUGUCUGCAUGAAGCAACUCAGCCCACCUGAAUCAAUUUUGUUCAAAUGUAGAACACUUAUUCUUCAAAGAAAUUUGUCAAGGUGGUUUAAUUUUCUUUGAGAGUUCCUGAAAUGAUUGUGCGUUACACUGUUUUGUAGUUUUAAAAUCUCUUGUAAUGGAUGGCACACAUGGACUGGCAUCCUGGCCAGAAUUGAACAGGGACCUUUACCCAGCUAAGCGGCCAGUGCAAUGGAAAGACCUGGGGUAGAUGAUGAUUAUUUUCUACCCCAAUACACUAGAUGGCAGCAUUCCAGGGCUUCAGUACCCAUUUGAAUAACAACAGGGUAUGCUGGGAACCAGAGUCCCAGAGUACUGAUCUCUUACGUUCUGUAGGUGUUAUCAGGGGGUGCUGCAGGAGAUUUUAAUCCUGGCUUUGUGGGAUUUCCAUCUGACCAACACACCAAGUCUCAACAACGAAUGUGCUCCCGGGUCUGAGAUAAAAGGAACCGCUUCACCUAACCUUGGACAGUCAGAGUCAAGUGGCAACUGGAGUGCAGAAUAAGCAAAGAAUCAUGUAUUUAUAAUUGUGUGUUUGGCUGUGCUCACUAAAAAAAUGUUGGUGACGAAUAAAUACCCUUUAUUUUG